GUAGGUGGCAAGCGUUGUCCGGAAUUAUUGGGCGUAAAGCGCGCGCAGGCGGUUCUUUAAGUCUGAUGUGAAAGCCCACGGGCUCAACCGUGGAGGGUCAUUGGAAACUGGAGAACUUGAGUACAGAAGAGGAAAGCGGAAUUCCACGUGUAGCGGUGAAGUGCGUAGAGAUGUGGAGGAACACCAGUGGCGAAGGCGGCUUUCUGGUCUGUAACUGACGCUGAGGCGCGAAAGCGUGGGGAGCAAACAGGAUUAGAUACCCUGGUAGUCCACGCCGUAAACGAUGAGUGCUAAGUGUUAGGGGGUUUCCGCCCCUUAGUGCUGCAGCUAACGCAUUAAGCACUCCGCCUGGGGAGUACGGCCGCAAAGGCUG
rnacentral:rRNA from 1 species